AUGGAGAAGCUGUCGGAGGAUGGGCGUGGUGUCUACGAGCUUCUUCGGGCGGAUCUCGCGGUCGACCUCGACAAGCGGUUCCGCGACCAAGGUGCGGAUCUACUCAAGGCCAUGGAGAAGCUGAUUUCAACAAAUACUUCGACCCUCGACGGCCUGCUCUCUUCGCGCGUGGACGGGGUCCGCGACGAGUUGCUGAUGGAGAUAGAGCAGAUCCGGGGCGAGCCGUUGAAGGGGAGUACUCCUCCGCAGGAAGAUCCGUCUCCGUCGCGUGUGGCUGGGAAUGGUCGCGGCGGUGGCCCGACUGAUUCCCUCAGCUUCGACAACGAUUACCGGGGGAAGGCACAUAAUACUUAUGUUCCUCCUCCGGUCAGAGGUGCGCGUGAGUCCAAUUUUUCGUUCCGUCCUUCUCUGGGCCGCGAGUCGAGUUCCUAUGAUGCUGCUGAUUCGUUUGCGUUUGGUGCUCGCUUGGAAUUGCCGCGAUUUGAUGGCGCCAAUCCGCGUCUGUGGCAAACGCGGUGUGAAGAUCAGUUUAAGCUGUGGUGUACUCCGGCUCAUCGAUGGAUUUCUCUGGCAACGGCUCAAUUUGAGGGUGCUGCUGCUUGUUGGUUGGAAUCAAUGCAACGUCGACAGCCACAGGCUGAAAAGGAAUUGAGCCAUGACUGGACACUAAUGCGGAGUGGAAAUCACGGUGUUCCAACCACUAUUGAGUGGUUGAAUGAUGUCUUACCAUCUGGUUCUCGAGUUGGUAUUGACCCGUUCCUUUUCUCAUCUGAUGCUGCUGAGGAAUUGAAGACUGCUAUUUCUGACAAGAAUCACGAGUUAAUUUUGAUUAGAGAUUUUAAUCUGGUUGAUGAGAUAUGGGGAGAAUCAAGGCCAGCGCCCCCAAAAGAACCUACCAGGGUGCAUGCCAUCAAGUAUGCUGGUGUUGACGUUGCAUCGAAGUUAUCUUUUGUCAGAUCACAGCUUGAUGAAAAUGGGUGUGACACUGUGGUUAUUUCAAUGCUUGAUGAGGUUGCAUGGUUGUUAAACAUGAGAGGAAGUGAUGUUCCACAUUCACCUGUAUUCUAUAGCUACUUGACUGUGGAGAUGAGCACUGCUACAUUAUUUGUAGAUAGCAACAAAGUAUCUGAAGAGGUAUUGGAGCACCUCAAGAAAGCUGGAGUAAAGUUAAAAUCAUACGAAGCAAUUUUAUCUGAUGUAGAAAGGCUGGCAGAAAAGGGUGCAAAACUGUGGUUGGAUUCUUCAAGUGUGAAUGCUGCCAUAGUCAGUGUAUUUAGAUCUGGUUGUGACAGAUACAUGGGAAAAAGAGGAAAGACAGGGAGGCAAAUUGGCAAAGAGGCAUCUUCAGAUGAUCCGACCACCAAAAAGCACGGUGUUCAGAAUAUGGAGUUAAACGGUCUGUACAAAGCCUCACCAGUCACCCUUGCCAAAUCAGUUAAAAAUGAGGCAGAAAUUAGAGGAAUGAAGAACUCGCAUCUAAGAGAUGCUGCUGCUUUAGCAGAAUUCUGGUGCUGGAUAGAGGAGGAAGUUCGUAAUAAUGUGGCUCUUACAGAAGUGCAAGUUGCAGAAAAUCUUCUUGAAUUUCGCCGAAAGCAAGAUGGUUUUAUAGAGACAAGCUUCGACACUAUUAGUGGUUAUGGUGCAAAUGGUGCUAUAAUACACUACAGACCAACUCCGGAUAGCUGCAGUUCUGUUGGAAGUGACAAUCUCUUUUUGUUAGAUAGUGGUGCUCAAUAUGUUGAUGGAACGACUGACAUUACAAGGACAGUUCAUUUUGGCGAGCCUUCCCCGAGGCAGAAGGAAUGCUUCACAAGGGUUUUGCAGGGCCAUAUAGCUCUAGAUCAGGCAGUAUUUCCAGAACGAACUCCAGGUUUUGUGCUAGAUGUUCUGGCACGAUCAUCUCUCUGGAAGAUUGGGCUUGAUUACAGACAUGGCACAGGUCAUGGAGUUGGAGCUGCACUCAACGUCCAUGAGGGCCCGCAGAGCAUAAGCUAUCGAUAUGGAAACUUGACAGCUUUACAGAAGGGCAUGAUUGUAAGCAAUGAACCUGGUUAUUAUGAAGACAAUUCAUUUGGCAUUCGUAUCGAGAAUCUGCUUCUGGUGAAGGAGGUUAAUUUAGCCAAUUCUUUUGGCGGCAUUUCAUACCUGGGCUUUGAGAAACUAACUUUUGUUCCGAUUCAGAGAAAGCUUAUUGACUUACCCUUGCUAUCACCUUCGGAGAUAAAUUGGGUCAAUGAAUACCAUGAACAAGUUUGGGAAAAGGUUUCUCCUUUCUUGAGUGGCAAUCCUCUCAACUGGCUGUUGGUUAACACAAGGCCUCUCUAG
rnacentral:rRNA from 1 species